CCCUUAGAGUUUGAUCCUGGCUCAGAAUCAACGCUGGCGGCGUGCCUAACACAUGCAAGUCGAACGCGAAAGUGGAGCAAUCCAUGAGUAGAGUGGCGAACGGGUGAGUAACACGUGGGUGACCUACCUUCGAAUGGGGGAUAACGUCCCGAAAGGGACGCUAAUACCGCAUAACAUCCUGCCUUUGAACAGGUGGAGAUCAAAGCCGGGGAUCGCAAGACCUGGCGUUUGAAGAGGGGCCCGCGUCUGAUUAGCUAGUUGGUGAGGUAACGGCUCACCAAGGCAACGAUCAGUAUCCGGCCUGAGAGGGCGGACGGACACACUGGGACUGAGACACGGCCCAGACUCCUACGGGAGGCAGCAGUGGGGAAUUGUUCGCAAUGGGCGCAAGCCUGACGACGCAACGCCGCGUGGAGGAUGAAGGUCUUCGGAUUGUAAACUCCUGUUGCUCGGGACGAAAAGCUUCGACCUAACACGUUGAAGUCUGACGGUACCGGGUGAGGAAGCCCCGGCUAACUCUGUGCCAGCAGCCGCGGUAAUACAGAGGGGGCAAGCGUUGUUCGGAAUUACUGGGCGUAAAGGGCGCGUAGGCGGCCUUCUAAGUCGAACGUGAAAUCCCCGGGCUCAACCCGGGAACUGCGUCCGAUACUG
rnacentral:rRNA from 1 species